UACGGAGGGUGCGAGCGUUGUCCGGAAUCACUGGGCGUAAAGCGCGUGUAGGCGGCCAAGCAAGUCGGGUGUGAAAGCCCUCAGCUUAACUGAGGAAGUGCGCCCGAAACUACGUGGCUUGAGUACCAGAGAGGGUGGCGGAAUUCCCGGUGUAGAGGUGAAAUUCGUAGAUAUCGGGAGGAACACCAGUGGCGAAGGCGGCCACCUGGAUGGAUACUGACGCUGAGACGCGAAAGCGUGGGGAGCAAACAGG
rnacentral:rRNA from 1 species